CUAAAGAGUAAAAAAACAAACUGGCAGUUUUUUGUAAAUGCCUCAAAACGAAUCCAUUUGGAGCACUGCAAUAAAGUGAUGCUAAUGUAUGUUUCCAGCAGCAGUGUCCCUAAUGCUGCAGGGUCUCAUCGUUCCUUCUCUAUGUUGGACUGAACUGUUUCAUCUCUUCACAAGUGAAUUCCUCAAAGCCAUAAAGUGGGGGAGAAGGAGACCAUCUACAGUAUGACAGGAGCAAAGGUGUUCACCCAGAGAAGGAGACCAUCUACAGUAUGACAGGAGCAGAGGUGUUCACCCAGAGAAGGAGACCAUCUACAGUAGACAGGAGCAGAGGUGUUCACCCAGAGAAGGAGACCGUCUACAGUAUGACAGGAGCAGAGGUGUUCACCCAGAGAAGGAGACCGUCUACAGUAUGACAGGAGCAGAGGUGUUCACUUGAGGAGUCUUCUCGGUCAAGAUAAGAUUUCCUGCUUGCCAUACUAGAGGGAGAUACUGGUUAUCUUUCAACUCCACACCAUGGGAUGAUUGACCUGGAUCUUAACCAGAACAGACUUCACCAGACACAGUAGAAGUGAGGUCACAGGAAACAGACUGAUUUGUGAAGAGGGACUACAUCACCCAGAAAGCAUUGUGUCCCUGGAGGCCAGAGCUUUGUUGGAUGUAAUGCCUUGUUCUCAACCUCUGAGUGUUCGGAAAUAAGACUUGUAAACUCGGUGCAUUCACGUACCUUGAACCAAGGUCAACCAUAAACUAACAGUACAGCUAUCAUGCUGGUAUGAAACGGCAGUUGAAAAUAGGUUUUCUAGAUCAGUCCAAACAUUCCUCC
rnacentral:lncRNA from 1 species